AACGAACGCUGGCGGCAGGCUUAACACAUGCAAGUCGAGCGCCCCGCAAGGGGAGCGGCAGACGGGUGAGUAACGCGUGGGAAUCUACCCAUCUCUACGGAAUAACGCAUGGAAACGUGUGCUAAUAACGUAUACGUCCUUCGGGAGAAAGAUUUAUCGGAGAUGGAUGAGCCAGCGUUGGAUUAGCUAGUUGGUGGGGUAAAGGCCUACCAAGGCGACGAUCCAUAGCUGGUCUGAGAGGAUGAUCAGCCACACUGGGACUGAGACACGGCCCAGACUCCUACGGGAGGCAGCAGUGGGGAAUAUUGGACAAUGGGCGCAAGCCCGAUCCAGCCAUGCCGCGUGAGUGAUGAAGGCCCUAGGGUUGUAAAGCUCUUUCACCGGUGAAGAUAAUGACGGUAACCGGAGAAGAAGCCCCGGCUAACUUCGUGCCAGCCGCCGCGGUAACAC
rnacentral:rRNA from 1 species